rnacentral:rRNA from 1 species
CCUUCCGGCAAUGGGUAAUGAGUUUAUCCAGCUGAUCAAGGAGACUUCUAUUUUGGGCUAUGUGGGUAUCAUGGAUCUGACAAAAGCGGCAAGCUAUGUUUCUUCCCGUACUUAUCAGAUGUUCAUACCGCUGAUCGUUGCAGGUAUCAUGUAUUAUCUGAUCGUGAAGUGCCUGAGCCUUCUGCUGAAGAGAUUUGAAAGGAGACUGAGAGAAAGUGAUUGAUGUUAAAAAUCUGAAAAAGUCCUUCGGGGACGUACACGUAUUAAAGGGAAUCACAACUCACGUAAACAAGGGUGAGUGUAUCUGCAUCAUCGGUCCGUCCGGCUCCGGAAAAUCUACAUUUCUGCGCUGUCUGAACCUUCUGGAAAAACCGGAGGAAGGCGAGAUCACCGUAAACGGACAGCAGCUUCUGGAUCCGAAGCUGGAUGUAGAUAAAUUCAGGGAAAAUGUGGGAAUGGUUUUUCAGCAUUUUAAUCUGUUUCCAAAUAUGACAGUAUUGAAAAAUAUCACCCUUGCGCCGGUGCGCCUUGGCAAAUGGAAUGUAGCGGAAGCUGAUCAGAAGGCGAGGGCUCUUUUGAAAAGAGUCGGACUUGAAGAAAAAGCUGAUGUCUAUCCAGGAAAGCUUUCAGGCGGACAGAAGCAGAGGGUUGCCAUUGCCAGAGCCCUUGCAAUGAAUCCCCAGGUGCUUCUGUUCGACGAGCCGACAUCAGCUCUUGAUCCGGAGAUGGUCGGAGAGGUUCUUGAGGUUAUGAAGGAGCUUGCAAAAGAAGGCAUGACCAUGCUGGUGGUUACCCAUGAGAUGGGAUUUGCAAGGGAGGUCAGCGACAGAGUGCUCUUUAUGGAUGAUGGGGUGAUUCUUGAGGAUAGAAAUCNACUGCAGUAUGACAGAACUGUGGGGACACGUAAGGAGAGCGGGAGCCGGGAAUGGAAAGCCCGGUACAAGCGAGGUACCAGUCACAUAGGAAAAUCCGUGUGGCAAUGGGAAGACGUGAUGUGGAGCGAAGAUUAGUAGCGAAGCCCGUGAGCCAUGCGUCAAGAAAAGCCGCUAUUGUUUNACUGCAGUAUGACAGAACUGUGGGGACACGUAAGGAGAGCGGGAGCCGGGAAUGGAAAGCCCGGUACAAGCGAGGUACCAGUAUGGUAGGAAAAUCCGCCAUGCAAUGGGAAGACGUGAUGUGGAGCGAAGAUUAGUAGCGAAGCCCGUGAGCCAUGCGUCAAGAAAAGCCGCUAUCGUUCAUAUUGUACCCGUACCGUAAACCGACACAGGUGGAUGAGGAGAGAAUCCUAAGGCCGGCGGAAGAAGUAUUGCCAAGGAACUCGGCAAAAUGGCCCCGUAACUUAGGGAGAAGGGGUGCCUGCGAGAGCAGGCCGCAGAGAAUAGGCUCAAGCAACUGUUUAGCAAAAACACAGGUCUAUGCGAAACCGAAAGGUGAGGUAUAUGGGCUGACGCCUGCCCGGUGCUGGAAGGUUAAGAGGAGAGGUUAGCGGUAACGCGAAGCUUUGAAUUUAAGCCCCAGUAAACGGCGGCCGUAACUAUAACGGUCCUAAGGUAGCGAAAUUCCUUGUCGGGUAAGUUCCGACCCGCACGAAAGGCGUAAUGAUUUGAGCGCUGUCUCGGCAAUACAUCCGGUGAAAUUGAAGUGCCAGUGAAGAUGCUGGCUACCCGCGCCAGGACGGAAAGACCCCAUGGAGCUUUACUCCAGUUUGGCACUGGGGUCCGGUGUUGCAUGUACAGGAUAGGUGGGAGGCUGAGAAACGGUAGCGUCAGUUGCCGCGGAGCCGCUGUUGGGAUACCACCCUUGUGAUAUUGGGCUUCUAACCAGCCGCCGUAAUCCGGCGGUGGGACAAUGCCAGGCGGGGAGUUUGACUGGGGCGGUCGCCUCCGAAAGGGUAUCGGAGGCGCCCAAAGGUUCCCUCAGAAUGGACGGAAACCAUUCGAAGAGUGCAAAGGCAGAAGGGAGCUUGACUGCGACACCGACGGGUGGAGCAGGUACGAAAGUAGGGCUUAGUGAUCCGGUGGUAUUAAGUGGGAAUGCCAUCGCUCAACGGAUAAAAGCUACCCUGGGGAUAACAGGCUUAUCACUCCCAAGAGUUCACAUCGACGGAGUGGUUUGGCACCUCGAUGUCGGCUCAUCGCAUCCUGGGGCUGUAGUAGGUCCCAAGGGUUGGGCUGUUCGCCCAUUAAAGCGGUACGCGAGCUGGGUUCAGAACGUCGUGAGACAGUUCGGUCCCUAUCCGGCGUGGGCGUAGGAUAUCUGAGAGGAGCUGUCCUUAGUACGAGAGGACCGGGAUGGACGGACCGCUGGUGGACCGGUUGGCUUGCCAAAGCCAUGGCCGGGUAGCCAAGUCCGGAAGGGAUAAACGCUGAAGGCAUCUAAGCGUGAAGCCCCCCUCAAGAUGAGAUAUCCCAUUCU